rnacentral:rRNA from 1 species
UACAGAGGUCCCAAGCGUUGUUCGGAAUUACUGGGCGUAAAGGGCUCGUAGGCGGCCAACUAAGUCAGACGUGAAAUCCCUCGGCUUAACCGGGGAACUGCGUCUGAUACUGGAUGGCUUGAGAUUGGGAGAGGGAUGCGGAAUUCCAGGUGUAGCGGUGAAAUGCGUAGAUAUCUGGAGGAACACCGGUGGCGAAGGCGGCAUCCUGGACCAACACUGACGCUGAGUGAGCGAAAGCCAGGGGAGCAAACGGG